GAAGUAUUUUGGCUAUUGGAGCUAGAAUUUGCCUGCAACUAAGUGCAGCAUUAUUGCUUUUGAACUUUUCAAAAUAGCAUUGUUCCUCUUGAACAGUUAGUGCAUCUUUGCUCAACAAUUUGCGUACAUUUUAAUUACAUAGUUUUCCUCUUAUGCUGCCUAAUAGCUAUAUGAUAUGCUUUAAUUAAGGCUCAUGAUGAGAGCUUGGCUCUCCUGAAUUGUUUCCCUAUUGUCUCCUAUGAUUAAUAGACAAUUAGUCUUUUAUUUGUAGACUACUUGCCACAGUCUUUUCUUAGAACCAAGGUCCACCCUAGAAUAAGGAAGAAUCACUGAUUCCAGGUGGUAGGGCUGAAAGCAACAGGAUCAAACAUCUCAAGCCUGCUGCUAGAUGUUGUGGUCUGACAAACUACAUGGCUUCUGUUAUCAAAACAGGAAAACAAUACCUUUGUCCUGAGAGCUGGUUCCAGCUUGAAUACUUCACCCAGUUUUGGGCCCAGACUUCCCUGUAAUCAGUAAACCGGUACGGAGACUUUAAAUCAGGGAUAUACAGUUUAUUUUUACUGAGGUCUGGAGUAUUUCUUGCCAUGACAUGCUCAGCAGAAAGUGAGAUAGCUCCUGUUCCCUCAGAAGAGGCAAGAAGUGCCUAUUAUAGCUGAGCAAAAAGUGGUGUCCUCCUUCCUGGAAGUCCAGAGAAGUAUUAAGAAGUAUGGUAUCUUCCACUGGAGUGAAGGAGACAUCACGUGUCUGAGACCUUGGUAAG
rnacentral:lncRNA from 1 species